ACUUGUACAGAGCUGAUUUCACUGUACAGACGUUUUAAACCCCCGAACCACACUACAAUCUUCUUAGUUGAUCAGACCUUGGCCUUCUUGUGAGAGUUGAUUUCUUUCAGAUAAACUUCAGAAAGCCCAAUAACAUUUGAGUUCAGAUUGACUGGAAUAUUGAAAUGCACAUUAUGUAAAUAUACAUGUCAUUUUUAGAUUGUAGAUGAUGGAUAUAGCAUGAGGUUGUUUCUAUUGUUUUUAGAAUAUAUCACAAAGAAGAAAAAAAAAUCCCUGAUAAAAUAAUUAUUAAAUAAUAAGAUUGUACCUGUUUAUUUUGUAUAUCUAUGUUUUUAAAUUGUAUCAAUUUAUGGCCCAAAUGGCCCGAAACGGUCACUCUUCCUUCCCCAGAUGAGACUAAUUUCUUUCUAAGGUGGUCUGAUGAAAAUUCCCUCAAAUGGAACCCUGAAUCAACAGUUAUACCAUUUUCACACUACUGAGUUGAGCCUAACUAAGCCGAACCGAGUCGGUCUGGGGUGGCCUGGUUAAGCAUCCACCAUAGUUGCUGGAAGAAAGCUGAAAAUGACAAUGUGAUCGGAAAAUAUCAGAGCCAGCAAAGUAUGGUUUGGGUUGGCUCAGUAGUGUGAAAAUAGUCAUUGUUUUACCUCAGACAUCCUAGCUCAGACCCUUAUGUUACACUACAGCAUUGAGAUACCAUUGCUACAAUGUUCCAGCAGUGUUGCAAGAAUGUUAUCCCUUGUAUGUGACCAGCAGACAGUGUUUUCUGUAACACACUUCCUCUCAAAACAACCCUAAAGCUAAACCUAGGUUAGCUUCGGUUCUGUAUUUGCUGAUAGUCGAACAGUCUGACUUGGCACAAAUGACUGUUCUAUUGGCAAGUGGACUUGCCAAUAAUUUUUAUGCUUUGCAAGUUUAUUUAACAAACUUUUUCAGAUGCCUGGUUGGAAGUGGAUGUUAAAUAUUGUACAGAGAAAUUGUAUGCUAUUGUCCCUCAAAUAAAGUAUAGUGACU
rnacentral:lncRNA from 1 species